GGGGCUGUAGCUCAGUUGGGAGAGCACCUGCUUUGCAAGCAGGGGGUCGUCGGUUCGAUUCCGUCCAGCUCCACCA
rnacentral:tRNA from 5 species